UAAAGUCAUCCAUAGUAGGAUGACAAGAUAUAUCAGUGACAAUUGGAGUACCAACAACGGAAGUGGAUGUUAUUUGGGUUUCAUUUUCUAAAUCCCAUAGAUAUACUUUACCAUCCUCACUUCCGCUGAAAACAAUUGUUUCACUUUGAUUAAAGCUAGAUCUAACUCGGUACUCCAUGUUUUUCAGACCGAUAUAACUUUUCAAGAUUUUACCCGUUUCUUGGUCAAGUAGAUGAAUAGAUGAAUUUAAAGAAGAGAUCAAAGAAAAUGAUGCGCUUUUAGAAGUCUUGACUGAUGUAAUGGGAUCUAUUUAAUUUGUUAAUUUUUGAAACAAGUGAUCACUUACGAGAAAAGUAAUCUGAACUCAAUGUUCCCUUUCGAAUAUCAUAUGUUCUUAAAGUGCCAUCAGUUGAUCCAGUAACUAUAAGAUGCUCAGCAAUGUCGAUAGAAGAAACACUGUCUUUCGCAUCUGCUAAGACCUGAAUAGGGCUAAAAGAAUUAGAACUAAAUAAGUUAGUAGAAUAAAAACAGAAUUAAUAGCCCAUACCGACAAUCCCAUAAUCGAACUUUAGAAUCGAACGAACCUGUAAACAAUUAGAUUUUGGAUUAUUCGUAACAAUCACACUCACCGCUAGCUAAAAUGGAGGAGUCCUCGUUAUAACGAAUUGUAUUAAUUUGAGCCAAAUGGCCUCCAAGUCUUCUAUCUACCUUUCCAGUAUUCACGUCCCAUACUUGAAUGAAUUUGUCACCGCCGCAGCUAGCAAAUUUUGUACUGUCAUAGACUAAAUCCAAAUCUAGUAUUUCAUGACCAUGUCCAGCAUAUUCAUGUAUGCAUGCGCCGCUCUUUACAUUCCAAAGUCGCACAACCCUUUCGUUACCAGCAGCAAGGACGUACUUUCCAGUCCUGUUAUAUUUUACGACAUUAAUAGGUUCUUUUGCUUUAGAGCUCAGCUUAGUUUUAGCUUCCAAUCGCAUACUGUUUUUGCAUUACAAAAGGAUGCUAGGAACACGAUCUUUUUCAGUUCUUCAACCUG